rnacentral:lncRNA from 1 species
UAACUCUAUUUGUUGAGAGAUGUAAUCUCACCAUUUAUAUCGAAGAGGUGAGUGACAUCAGAUUCUUCUCAUUUCAUCUCUCCAACUAAACACCGGGACGGAACCAACCCAUGACUUUUUUAUCAUCAUCUGAACACAAGGAUGGAACCAACCCAUGACUUUGGAAUGGAACCAUGACAUUCUAUGACUUUUGAUCCUCAAACCAAACACACC